GUAAACUUAGGUUCAGUUCCAAGUUUUUAGACAUACUCCCAAAAGUCAUUCAGUAUAAACAUAUAUGUACUUUACAGCAUUUGUUGUGGUAGGUCAGAGGAUAUUGUCAAUGAUUCUGGUCUUAUUUAAGAAGGCUCUGCAGUUUGGUAUAUCAUUUGCACCCUACAUACAUAAGGAGCAUAAAAGUCAACCAAGAACAUAGCACUGUGGCAUAUCACAUGACAAAGAAUGGUAUCUCUGGGAUUCUCAGUCCUCAUUCUGUCAGCUCAUAGUCUAAACUUCAAUGUUGACUUUUAGAAGAAGCCUAAGGCAAAAUUUCAAAGGAGCAGGUAAGUGGAAAGUCUCAUCUUAUUCUCUACCAAGUCCAGGGCUGUUUGCCUUCCUUUUUGGUCAGCUUGUCCAACAGGUUGCUGUGGUGGGGUAUGUGGGAUGCUCUUUAUGAAAGAGGCACUACUAAAGUCAAAUAGCUCUUAAGUGUAAGAACUGAGAUAUGAAUCCAGGCCUCCUGACUCCAGUUCCUUAGCCAAAAUAUAUACUAAAGGUAUUAAAUAGCUAAUCUUUUGCAAGACAGGUAGGUAAAUUUGGGUUUGAGUCAAUAAUCAAGAAAGUACCCAAGUCUGGUUCUGUUUUCAAAGUAAAACUCCGUUUAAUGACAGUAGAAAUGUGACUUUAUACUUUGCACUUUGAAUUCAGAGUAGGGCUGUAAGUGGGCAUUCCUGUUGCCUGAUCAUAUUUCUUGCUAAUCUCUUAAUAUUUAUAGAUAGAAUGCCAAAAAAUGUUAAGUGUGUGCUAAUAGGUUCCUAAAAGGAUUGGCCCUUAACUUUCCAUAUUAAGCCUUUGCUUAUCUUGUCCAAACCCUCAGUUUUGUUGGAAUUCUAAUUACUAACCUAUUCCCCUGUGCAGAUGGUCAUGGGAGGAAGUUCUUCCUCCCUUGACCAAAGUAAUUUAUUAGUUUGUUGACAGAUUACACAAGGCUGGGUUUUCUGCUUAUCACAGUUAAUGUCUCAAAUAUGCCUGAGGAGUGUGUAUUUUGUACUUGUAAGGUCAUCAUGUUGCCACAAGCUCUAGCCUGUUUGUUUGAACAGGGGCAAGAACAUGCACAUAGAUCACUCAAUAAGCAUAAUUGUUAAAGGUAUGAUGGCUAACAAAGAUAAACAUGGUCCCUGAGGAAGAGGUCAUAAAAUUCCCAGCAUGUCUUCUAAUGGCAACACAAAUUUUAUAAAAAGCCUAUUUGAUAGUUUGGCUUUACUCUUAUACAUAUGUAAACAGUUUAGUUAACUUCCUUAUUAUGUAUUUGUAUCACAAUAGAGUUAAUGCAUACAGAAUUGUUUGUUAGUAUUAACAAGUAGAAUACCUGAAAUCAUCACAUCUACUAUUCAUGAAAUGUAUCAAUGUUUUUCUUAAAAUUAUGUAUAUAUUAGUGCCAGUGUAAAUGGAUGGUUUCAGUAGUCCAGAG
rnacentral:lncRNA from 10 species